rnacentral:rRNA from 1 species
UACAGAGGGUGCAAGCGUUGUUCGGAAUUAUUGGGCGUAAAGCGCGUGUAGGCGGCUUUGCAAGUCGGGUGUGAAAUCCCUCAGCUUAACUGAGGAAGUGCGCCCGAAACUGCAGAGCUUGAGUGCCGGAGAGGAUGGCGGAAUUCCCCAAGUAGAGGUGAAAUUCGUAGAUAUGGGGAGGAACACCGGUGGCGAAGGCGGCCAUCUGGACGGCAACUGACGCUGAGACGCGAAAGCGUGGGGAGCAAACAGG